rnacentral:rRNA from 1 species
GAAAGCCUGAUCCAGCAAUGCCGCGUGAGUGAUGAAGGCCUUAGGGUUGUAAAGCUCUUUUACCCGGGAUGAUAAUGACAGUACCGGGAGAAUAAGCCCCGGCUAACUCCGUGCCAGCAGCCGCGGUAAUA